UGCUAGCUCAGUUGGUAGAACAUAAGACUCAUAAUCUCAGGGUCAUAGGUUAGAGCCCCACAUUGGGCAAAA